UUCUUGAAUAAUAAGACAAGUUCUCUGGUAGAACUAUGCCAGUAGCAAUAGUAGUAUCGAGUCUGGAUCUCAGUGGAGGAACUUUGGGAAGCCCUCCUUGCCUCUCUCCUUAGUUUACUGCCCCCCUCAGAAGGUAAACCUGUGCUAUUCCAGCGUUGGCCCCCACAGGUUACCCUCGCCUGUCCUGUGCUGGGCUGUGGCUGUCUCCUUUCACUUAGCACUUCUGUCUGUGAGCAUCUCCCCUGUACUUCUCCGGGGCGGGCAGCCUCGUGGGCCUGAGCCCUCAGCCCUGGGAUCCUGAUGAAGUGUUCUGUGAGAGUAAAGACUGUUUUUUUAUCAGACAACUUUUUACAUUUUCUUCUGAAUUUAGAUAGUUGAUCAGGUUCACCCUACAGCAUGAAGCGGUGAUUGAAUAAAUAAGCAUGAAACAUGUGCCUGCCCUGAAGACGUCGGUGUGUGUGUAACUGGCUUUUCUUGGCCUCAUGAAGCAAAUGUCUUCUCACUCCAUGUGAAGAUGCUCAGCCAGACUUUCUUUUCGGGGAAGCUGGGCAGGACAGAGCUUUUCAUUUCUCCACAGUGUCAUGGGCAGAUGGGGAGAAAAAGUUCUUAAGACUGACAGGGACCCACUGGGCCUGUGCUCAGUGAUCCCAGGGUG
rnacentral:lncRNA from 1 species